rnacentral:rRNA from 1 species
GACGAACGCUGGCGGCGUGCUUAACACAUGCAAGUCGAACGGUGAAGGGACCGGUUUUUGCUGGUUCUGGAUGAGUGGCGAACGGGUGAGUAACACGUGAGUAACCUGCCCCCUUCUUCUGGAUAACCGCAUGAAAGUGUGGCUAAUACGGGAUAUUCUGCGCCUGCUGCAUGGUGGGUGUGGGAAAGAUAUUGUUUCGGUGGGGGAUGGGCUCGCGGCCUAUCAGCUUGUUGGUGGGGUGAUGGCCUACCAAGGCGGUGACGGGUAGCCGGCCUGAGAGGGUGGACGGUCACACUGGGACUGAGACACGGCCCAGACUCCUACGGGAGGCAGCAGUGGGGAAUAUUGCACAAUGGGCGCAAGCCUGAUGCAGCGACGCCGCGUGAGGGAUGGAGGCCUUCGGAUUGUAAACCUCUUUCGCCAGUGAAGCAGGCCUGUCCCUUUUGUGGGUGGGUUGACGGUAGCUGGAUAAGAAGCGCCGGCUAACUACGUG